rnacentral:rRNA from 1 species
UACGAAGGGGGCUAGCGUUGCUCGGAUUGACUGGGCGUAAAGGGCGCGUAGGCGGUUCGUACAGUCAGACGUGAAAUUCCUGGGCUCAACCUGGGGGCUGCGUUUGAUACGUGCGGACUUGAGUGCGGAAGAGGGUCGUGGAAUUCCCAGUGUAGAGGUGAAAUUCGUAGAUAUUGGGAAGAACACCGGUGGCGAAGGCGGCGACCUGGUCCGUACCUGACACUGAUGCGCGACAGCAUGGGGAGCAAACAGG